rnacentral:rRNA from 1 species
GACGAACGCUGGCGGCGCGCCUAACACAUGCAAGUCGAACGGAGUUGAGAGGAGCUUGCUUUUCUUGACUUAGUGGCGAACGGGUGAGUAACGCAUGAGGAACCUGCCUCAAAGAGGGGGACAACAGUUGGAAACGACUGCUAAUACCGCAUAAGCCCACGGUCCCGCAUGGGAGAGAGGGAAAAGGAGCAAUCCGCUUUGAGAUGGCCUCGCGUCCGAUUAGCUGGUUGGUGAGGUAACGGCCCACCAAGGCGACGAUCGGUAGCCGGACUGAGAGGUUGAACGGCCACAUUGGGACUGAGACACGGCCCAGACUCCUACGGGAGGCAGCAGUGGGGAAUAUUGCACAAUGGGGGAAACCCUGAUGCAGCGACGCCGCGUGGAGGAAGAAGGUCUUCGGAUUGUAAACUCCUGUUGUUGGGGAAAAAGAGGAUGGUACCCAACAAGGAAGUGACGGCUAACUACGUGCCAGCAGCCGCGGUAAAACGUAGGUCACGAGCGUUGUCCGGAAUUACUGGGUGUAAAGGGAGCGCAGGCGGGUAUGCAAGUUGGGAGUGAAAUACAUGGGCUCAACCCAUGAACUGCUCUCAAAACUGUGUAUCUUGAGUAGUGCAGAGGUAGGCGGAAUUCCCGGUGUAGCGGUGGAAUGCGUAGAUAUCGGGAGGAACACCAGUGGCGAAGGCGGCCUACUGGGCACCAACUGACGCUGAGGCUCGAAAGUGUGGGUAGCAAACAGGAUUAGAUACCCUGGUAGUCCACACCGUAAACGAUGAUUACUAGGUGUUGGAGGAUAGACCCCUUCAGUGCCGCAGUUAACACAAUAAGUAAUCCACCUGGGGAGUACGACCGCAAGGUUGAAACUCAAAGGAAUUGACGGGGGCCCGCACAAGCAGUGGAGUAUGUGGUUUAAUUCGACGCAACGCGAAGAACCUUACCAAGUCUUGACAUCCUGCGACGAGUACAGAAAUGUGCUUUUCCUUCGGGACGCAGAGACAGGUGCUGCAUGGUUGUCGUCAGCUCGUGUCGUGAGAUGUUAGGUUAAGUCCUGCAACGAGCGCAACCCUCAUAUGUAGUUGCCAUCAUUAAGUUGGGCACUCUGCAUAGACUGCCGUGGUCAACACGGAGGAAGGUGGGGAUGACGUCAAAUCAUCACGGCCCUUACGGCCUGGGCUACACACGUGCUACAAUGGCUAUUACAAAGAGUUGCAAUACAGCAAUGUGGAGCGAAUCUCAAAAAGAUAGUCUCAGUUCAGAUUGUGGGCUGCAACCCGCCCACAUGAAGUAGGAGUUGCUAGUAAUCCCGAAUCAGCAUGUCGGGGUGAAUGCGUUCCCGGGUCUUGUACACACCGCCCGUCACGCCAUGGGAGUUGGGAGUGCCCAAAGUCGGUGACCUAACCGCAAGGAAGGAGCCGCCUAAGGUAAUACCAAUGACUGGGGUGA